rnacentral:rRNA from 1 species
GCAGGGCCAUGGUUYUGAAGACGCACUGCUCCAGUACAGCACUGGAAUUGACUACACGGUCMUCAGACUKCUACCGGCAGGUAGACAGUGGGGGAAUAUUGCAUCAAUGUGCGCAAGCCGUGACUGCAGCCAUGCAAGUGAUGUAUGAAYGAYGGCCUKUCGGGUGUUAUAGYACUWUCAGUCGAGGAGGAARGGCGUUAARRSWUCAUAAGCAKCRGCKGAUUGWCAGUURCUCGCARARGMAGCACAGGAUAUCUCCGWGCCAGCAGSCAKSKCUAAAUAGAGAGGAGUGCUAKCGUUGAUCGGAAUUUACUGRGCGUAAAGCKCACGCAGGCGGUCUGUCAAGUCGGAUGUGAAAUCMCYGGGCUCAACGUGGSAGUUGCAUUCGAAACUGGCAGGCWAGAGUYUWGUAGAGGGGAGGYAGACUUCCAGGUGUAGCGGUGAAAUGCGUAGUGAUCUGGAGGAAUACCGGUGGCGAAGGCGGCCCCCUGGACAAAGACWGACGYUCAGGUGYGARAGUGUGGGGAGCAAACAGGAUUAGAUACCSUGGUAGUCCAUGCUGUAAAUGAUGUCGAMUUGGAGGUUGUCCCCUKGAGGUGUGGCUUCCGGAGCUAACGUGUUAAGUCCCCCUCYUGGGGAGUACGGCCGCAAGGUUAAAACUCAAAUGAAUUGACGGGGGCCCGCACAAGCGGUGGAGCAUGUGGUUUAAUUMGUUGCAACGMGAAGAACCUUACCUACUCUUGACAUCCAGAGAACUUAGCAGAGAUGCUUUGGUGCCUUCGGGAACUCUGAGACAGGUGCUGCAUGGCUGUCGUCAGCUUUUGUUGUGAAAUGUUGGGUUAAGUCCCGCAACGAGCGCAACCMUUAUCSUUUGUUGCCAGCGUUCSGGUCGGGAACUCAAAGGAGACUGCCAGUGAUAAACUGGAGGAAGGUGGGGAKGACGUCAAGUCAUCAUGGCCCUUAYGAGUAGGGCUACACACGUGCUACAAUGGCAUAUACAAAGAGAAGCGACCUCGCGAGAGCAAGCGGACCUCAUAAAGUAUGUYGUAGUCCGGAUUGGAGUMUGCAACUCGACUCCAUGAAGUSGGAAUCGCUAGUAAUMGUAGAUCAGAAYGCUACGGUGAAUACGUUCCCGGGCCUUGUACACACCGCCCGUCACACCAUGGGAGUGGGUUGCUGAAAGAACUAGGUAGCUAACAGUCGYRAGAGAGCARCCGURGACGUGMAG